rnacentral:tRNA from 1 species
UUAAAAGUGUCAGAUAAAUGUAUUAAAUUUAGAAUUUAAAAAUAAAGAUUUUCUUUCUUUUAAA